GCCGUCCGCGCGCGCUGCCGCGACGCCGCCGCCCGCAGCCAUGUACGAAGACGACUUCCAAGAGCCCUCGACGAGCCGUCGCCGGGCUUCCAGAGAAAUGACGCCGUCCUCCACAUCUACCCGACAGCGGAAGGGCUUCCUCGGCAGGUUCUUCAAGAAGGCCUGGGAGAAGAUGAAGCGGCCGGAGAGCGAGCGGCCAAAGGAGGAGCCGUGGGACUACCUGGAGGG